UGACGUCAGACCAGGUAUAGCCAAUCAGAGACUGGCCUGAGGAAGGAGUGUGAAGGGAUGAAUGAAAAGUCCGGAGCCUGAGAGCGCCCCCGCCAGAGCAGCGGCCGAGGCUGAGGAGGGAGCUGGGACUCGAGACCCCGCUCCACCCUGCCGGCUCCGGCUCGGCCUCGUCCGUCACCUGGUAAGCCCGGGUACCCUCGACUCAGUCCGCGGAGUUGCCUGGGUGGGAACGCACCGGAAGACUGCGCAGGACAGCACCACUGGGCACCCUGGGCUUGAUGUAAGUGGCUUGACCCGCGUGGGGCACGAGGUGGGGAAGCGCCCCAGAGGCCAGCGCGCGUCUGCCACCUGCGAGCACAGAGCCAGCCCCACACCCUCUGUGCGACCCUGGACCUCGCAGUGGAUUCAGUCCGGAUCGCCACCCCCCACCCCUGUCAACAACUAAGGGCAUCUCUCGUUCAGACCCCCGGUAAUUUUCACAUCCCUGGGUUAUUUCGGCUGCUAUUUGCACAAAAUCGACUCUCGCGCUUCGGUGGGUCCGGAGCUCGGCACACCUGCCGACCGCCCUCUGCACUCCCGGCAACCCCACGUCCUGACUGCUCACUCAUCUCUCUCUGGGUGGGGUCUUUGCCCUUGGGAGACUCUCCGGGGAGUCUCGGUAUAACCCUCCAUCCUGCGGCCAGCCACAGGCUUCCUCUCUGGGCCUCGAGAUUCUCCAGUGCUGGGGUUCCGGUCCCGGGGGUUCGCGGUCCGCUCCCCUUCAGUCGGUAGCUGGGACCAGCUCUGCGAGCUCGGCUCUGCCGCACCCACGCGGGGCUUGGACCCCACCUUCCCGAGGAGGGUGUGGACACCGGGGGAGGUUGGGGAGGCCUCUGCUCGGCCUCUGCGGUCUUCCCGGGUGGCACGAAAGGCCCCGUAGCCCUUCCACCGGCCUGGGCGGGCGGAGCCCGGCUUCUACAUCGAGGGGGAGGCAGUGGGAAAUGGGCGGUCAGGCUUGGGUUGCUUGGAUCCACCCUGGAUUCCUGACAUCAGAACCGUCGGCGGUCGCAUCCUUUCGAGGUUUCGUCGUGUCAGUGCAUGAGGUCCAGGACCCCAUCUCUUCGCCUCCAUACCACGUGUGUCCCCCACCCGCCGUCGAGCGACGCAAGACUGCGGAGGUCCAGGCGGCGUCCGGGAGGCUGCGUGGAAGAGGAGGCGGCGGCCAGGAGGCGGGGUUGGUUGUUAUCUUUGGUUAUCUAGCUGUAUGAGUGGUGUGGAGUCUUCAUAAAGCUAGAUAACCGAAAGUAAAAAUAACCCCAUACACUGCGCAGAGGGCCCGAAACGCAGGCGGCAGCAGGGCUGCAUGCUGGAAGGAGAGCCGCGCCAGGAGUCCCACGAGGCUGGGGGGCCGGGGAUGUCGUCGCCUUCGAGGGUUGCUUAGCUCAGGUCACCUUCGAGAUCCCCACCCGUAACCCGCUGAUCUGAGAAGAAAGCAAGAAGUCGCUUUGGGGUCGCCUCUGGAGACCUGGUCAGAUCGGAGCAGUCCGGGCCCCAGUACCAGAAAGCUGCUCCCAGGAGAGACAAAGUCGUUGGAAUCUAGUUGGAAGGUUGUGGGGGACAUGCCAGCACCCUUUCCCUGGUCUUGAUACCUGCUCCGGGGAGCAGCAGCGGGCGACUGGUGUGAGCAGCUUCCCUUUGGCUCUUCGAAGAGAGUGGUGGGAGUUCGAGGUUCGAACUUUUGCUUUGGUGGGCUCUCUGUGAACCCCUCAGCUUUACUGGGAACCAAGAUUAUCCAGGUGGGAAGAGGUCUAAGAUCAGUCUCCGGGUAGGGUGCUUAAACACACUCAGUCGCCGGGUAGGGUGCUUAAACACACACACACAACGAAGUCAUUAGGGAGCAGGCUAAUACAGAAACAAAUACACAAGGGCAGGGGUGGGGAAUGGCCAGAGACCCUUUUGCCCCUGGAGUUCGGGAUCCUGGGGACAGACGCUUUGCUUUCACUUUGCCCUUCAGGAUCUGAGUGGAGUCUUGCAAGACUCUCCGUCUGCUUUAUCAUUAAUGGUCUCAGCAAGGUGUAGAGAGUCGGGGGUUUUUUACCUUCCAGUUCUGGCCUCCCUCUUGGAAAUCAUGUCCCAAAGGAACAAAUGGCCUCAGGGAGCUCUGAGGAUCUCAAACACAAAGGAAUGUGUAGCUGCCCAGAGAAAGCAAAGAAUUAGAGAGAUUAAUUGGGGCUCCUGCAAUAAGAAUCUAUUUAUCUGGCCUGACCUAAAUAUUUUAGUAAAAGAGGGUUUCUACAGGGAGAAGAUGAUCUCCCAAGCGUGGCCAGGGCUAGGAAUUCCGGCUGUAUUCAUAUGGCCCUACACCAGACUUGACCACCAGGCAUUUGGAGAUAAGGACUAAUAAGAGGCAGAAAAAAACUGAGCAAAAUGUCAUUGCACAGACCCCAGUGCCUUCUGUCAAUUUAAAAAUUCCUCCCAGGACUUGAUUUUAUAGCUAAAAGAUAAUGAUUCAAUUUUGUAUUGCAUGGGAGAAAUAUUGGAGAAUCCAAAUUCAAAACUGGGGGCUUUAGGGAGCCUGUUGCCCUUGUGCGUCACCUUUAGGGGAGGGAGAGUGUAGCCUCUAGCCUUUUCAGAAGCUGGGGGUUUGUUUUGUUUUGUGUCUGUGGGGGCAUGGAACCUGAAUUGAGAAAAGGAUCUGGUUCUAGACUGGGGCUAAUGGUCUCCAAGGCCACAUGCCUGUUUUCUUUUUUCAACAUGCAAUACUGCAGGGAGAUGCCAUGUCACAUCACAGACCCAAGUGAGCAGCUGAUAUUGUUCAAUAGUUUGACACCCAAAGCUCCUGCCAUGGACUCUGACUCAGAGAAAGUGAGACCCAAGGGAACCAAGUGGGCUUGAGGAAGAGGGAAGCAGAGAGAAGAGAAGCCUCACUGCUAUCAGAUUUGCGUGGGAGGAGGAGGAGCACCAGCAAAAACAAGCUUCCUUAUCAUUACUGUUUUUAGUGUUUUAAUGUAUGGUGUUGCAAGUGUGUAGCUCAGUCUACACAAUGCAGGGCUACACAGACCUCCACCACAGCACAGGCUUAUAAUCACUUGGGAAGUAGAGGAGGGAGGACUAGGAAUUCAAGGUGAUCUUUGUCUAUAUUGCAAGUUCCUGGCCAGCCUAGAACCCUCCCCCAACACACACACCAAAACAAAGAAAUUUGUGGACACCCAAGGCUCAUCCCUAGGAGACUUAGAGCCUUGAUUGCUAACCACAAUGGUUUUAUAUUAUCUGCUUCCCAUGAGUACAUUGGACCACAGGCUCUCCAAGAGAACAGAAGGCUUUAGGGAAAGGAGGACUGUGGAUUCUCAGGGCUUGUGUCUUCUUUAAGUGCACACUCUGGUUGGGUGGGUGGGAUUCUCAGCAAGGCAUCAGGUGACUGUGAAGUACAUGCAUCUGAUGAUGAGGGUAGGAAGCAGCAAUGUGGAGAUCAAUAGGAGGUGGGAUGUGUACCGCUCCAUGGUGAGCUAGGAAACUAAGCUGGACCACUGGGGAUGCUAGGAUGUGGGCAGGCAAAACCACAGAAAACAUCUGGAGUUUACUAAAUGUAGACAUUAAUCACAGUGAUGCCUAGAGUCCCCUCCUCUCCUUUAUUUUUUAGAGAAAUAUUUGUUUUGAACUUUUUUAUUUAUUUUGUAUUUCUGGUCAAGUGUUGGUAGGUCAGAAAACAAUUUGUGGGAGUCAGUUCUCCCCUUCAACCAUGUGGGUUCAGAGGACAGAAUUGCAGUGUCAGGCUUGGUGGCAAUCACCUUUACCCACUGAAAUAUCUCCCUGGAUCUCUCUCUUUUGUUUUUGAGACAGAGUAUAGCCCAGGCUUAUGUGGAACUCGUGGCAAUCCUUCUGCCUCCCAAAUGCUGAAAUUACAGGCAUGGGUGCCUGGAUCACCACUCCCGCCCUUCUCUAUAUCUCAUAGCACCCUCCUUUCCCAAUUAAACUAUGUAGGAGAAUUGCUUUCAUUGGAGCUCACUCUCCACCAGCUACCCAAUUGAGAAAGCUCCUUUGUGUAGUCACAGCCUGCCUGGGUCUAAAAACUGCCAUUUGUAUUUUUCAAAGUUUGCUAUAUCCACCAGAGUUACUGGAAACCAAAUUCACAUCUGGCUUCUUCUCUUUAAAAUUUUUGGGAAAAUGUGUGUGUGUGUGUGUGUGUGUGUGUGUGUGUGUGUGUGUGUGUGUGUGUUGCCUGUGUAUAUGUCUAUGCACCAAAUGUGUAGUGUCCUUGAAGGAGGAGGUGUUGGAUCCCCUGAAACUGGGUUUACAGAUGGUUGAGAACUGCCAUGUGGGUGUUGGGACUUGAACCUGGGUCCUCUGGAAGAGCAGCCAGUACUUUUAACCACUAAGCAUCUGUCCAGCCCCUCAGCUAGUUUCUUGACCCACUUUUCUUCAAGGCCUUGUCCUAUGUCCUUUUAUAGAGCUCUCUGCACAGGCAACUGAAGGCAACUUUCUUGUAAAUAUCUGAUGCAAAUUUUGCUUGCUCACCUAGACCCAACCCAGAGACAACACCCCCAUCGCUUCUAGGCAGCCAAAAGGUCUUGUUAAAUUGGGAGUGCAGGAGUUCUGAAUCCCAGCACUUCUGAAGCACAUCCAGGUAGAUCUCUGUGUAUUCAAGGCCAGCCUGGUCUACAUAGUGAGUUCCGGACAGCCAGAGCUACAUAGUGAGACCUUUUCUCAAAAAAAAAGGGGGGGGGGAGAAAGAACCCAAACCAAAACAACACUACCAUUGGGUUGCUCAGGUCACUCACUCUAUGUAGCAAAGGUGGAAAGUUCUCUUUUGCAUGUUUGUGACUGAGGAACUGUAACCCAUUAAAAGGAGGGGUGGAAGGGCACCCUUGGGAACUCUAUUAAGAGAAGAGCUGAGGUCCCCUGUCACUACCAAUAGUCAUCCACCCACCGACAUCUCUCUUUGUCAAGUUUUUGGGGCUCAGUUUUCACUUUUAGCCCAAACUGGCUUAGAAUUCACAAAGUAGCCAGGACUGGCUUCUAAUUAAUGGUGAUCCUUAUGCCUCAGCCUUCCAGUGCUUGGAUUACAGGCAAGGCUUUGUGCUCUUUCUCCUAAAUAAGGGCACGAUUGACUAGUAAACUGACCUGUGUAUAAUGUGUAAGUGAUAGUGACAACCCUCUGCCAUUAAAUAUCUGGACUCUAGAGUUACUAAAAGCAGGAGUUGGGCUUAGUGGGUCAUGCCUAUAAUCUCAAUAUUCAGGAGGCUGAAGCAGGAGGGUACAGAAUUCAAGGCCAGCUUGUUCACACCGAGACCUUGUCUAAGAAAAUAAUUUUUAAAAGACCCCACAAUAGAGGAAAUGGGGUUAUUGUACCAAUAGGCAAGGUGGGCCAACUCCCCCAGGAGAUAAGUGGGUUUAGGUUAAUGGUGACUUCAAAUCACUGCAAGGGAGGAGGAGAUGAAAUCCAGAAAGCAUUUGGGGCUUUUGAGGAGAAUGGGGAACUCAGGGUUAUGGAAGGAAGGAUGGGUGGGUGGGUGUGCGUUUAACUAGGAGAGAGGUGAGAAAAAAGGGAGACUCCUUGCCACCCAGGCUCUGCCAGGGCUAGAGUGACACCCCUCCUCCUGCCCUAAUCCCCCAUUAAGGCAGCUCUGAGCUUGUUAUGACAGCGGCUGAAGGCAGCUGAAUUGCUGUUUGCUGUGUCUACUAAUUGGACUGAAGGACUAGGGUCUGGACACUGAAAGGGGCCAUUGUUGCUGUUUACCUUCCACAGCUGCCUCCCUGGGACCCUCUGGUUGAGGGGAGUAGCAUACCCUCGGGUUGUGACACCCAUUCCGUGUCCAUGCCGAGCACUAUGUGGGGACACUGCACAUCCCAUUGUCUUGUGUGGUUUGAGUUUCCACAGCACAGAAGGGACAAACAUGACACCUGACUGGGCCUAGCAGAGGCUCAGGGUCCCCAUCCCCAAGCCUUUCUCUUCCCUACCCUUCCCUUCUGUAAGGGUGCUCCUCCCCAUAGCAGCUCAGGGACCAUUCUUAUCUGCCUCCUUCUGGACCAGUGCUUCUAAACUUGGCUACACACUAAAACCACCCUCCACGCCCAUACAGAUGUUUGGGCUUGGCCCAGCCCAAAAUUCAGAGAGGAAUGAAGCCUUGGAAUCUGCACCACAAUACAGUCUUAUCUGUGUGGAGACUACACAGUUGCUGCCUUCCUCCCAAGACCCUACUGUAUCUAUAAUGUUGUUGGCAGGUGGAUUUCUCGCUCAUCUUUAUUACUAAAUUACUUGUGGAGGUCAUAGUAUUUAGAAUGGAAUUUAAAGGUCUGUCUUCAACCUCAGCCUUGCUCUUCCCUAAAGGCAAAAGCACUGAUUCGGCCUUGCAUGUGCCUGUGGGUUUUUCAAAACAAUCCCAAGGAACCCUGAGCUAAUCUGGGGCUCCUGAAGAUCUAGGAUGAAGGGGUGGGAAAUUCAGGACUCAUCCACCCCAGCACUCUGUGCCCCUCCAAUAACAGGGAGACUUCCUUCAAAAUUGCCUUUUCUCUUUUCUUACUGUAUCCAAACGUUUCUGCUUCUCUUCCCUUCAGCUUCUCCCCUGGGCGGGUGGGUGCUCCACCCUCCCGCCCUCUCCGCUCUGUGGACAAGGACGUGAGGACCAGAGACAUCCAGCACCACGGACAGCUCCCAGCGAUGACCCAGAAAGCCAGGUGUGGUGCUUCACACCUGUAAUCUCAGCACCUGGACAUCUGGGGCAGAAGAAUGGCCAAAGAGAAGACCUGACCUGGCCCCAAGCUCCCCAAGGGCAAAGUGUGUUCCCAGAUUGAGAAGGGGCUGCCUCCAGCAAACAGAUGUGAACAGAGGCAGAGGGCACCACCCGGCAGCUUCUCCCCAAGCUAUGGAAUGCGGGCUUUGCUCACCUGGUCACUUCCAGCAAGUUGUCCCACCCGGCCCAUCUAUUUCUCCUGUUGCCUCUCGGCUGCAUCCCUAAAUCCUACCCCAUGUCCAAUAAAGAGUGUUGCAGACUGAACAGCAG
ensembl:lncRNA